CUAGCCCAUGACACCUUGCUUAGCCACACCCCCAAGGGAACUCAGCAGUGAUAGACAUUAAGCCAUAAGUGAAAACUUGACUUAUUUACAGCCGCCAGGGCCGGUAAAACUCGUGCCAGCCACCGCGGUUACAGGAGAGGCCCAAGUUGACAGCCCCCGGCGUAAAGAGUGGUUAAGGAUUAACCCUAACUAAAGUCGAACGCCCCCAAGACCGUUAUACGUGCUCGGAGGUAUGAAGCCCAACUACGAAAGUGGCUUUAAAAUACCUGACCCCACGAAAGCUGUGAAACAAACUGGGAUUAGAUACCCCACUAUGCUCAGCCCUAAACUUUGAUAGUCUAACUACACUCACUAUCCGCCUGGGUACUACGAGCUUUAGCUUAAAACCCAAAGGACUUGGCGGUGCUUAAGAUCCACCUAGAGGAGCCUGUUCU
rnacentral:rRNA from 1 species